rnacentral:rRNA from 1 species
GAUCAACGCUGGCGGCGUGCUUAACACAUGCAAGUCGAACGAAGUUUUUCCUUCGGGAGCAACUUAGUGGCGGACGGGUGAGUAACGCGUGGGUAACCUGCCCUGUACAGGGGGACAACAGCUGUAAACGGCUGCUAAUACCGCAUAAGCCCUUACCACUGCAUGGUGCAUAGGGAAAAGGAGCAAUCCGGUACAGGAUGGACCCGCGUCUGCUUAGCCAGUUGGCAGGGUAACGGCCUACCAAAGCGACGAUCAGUAGCCGAUCUGAGAGGAUGUACGGCCACAUUGGGACUGAGACACGGCCCAGACUCCUACGGGAGGCAGCAGUGGGGAAUAUUGCACAAUGGAGGAAACUCUGAUGCAGCGACGCCGCGUGAGUGAAGAAGUAGUUCGGGAUGUAAAGCUCUAUAAGCAGGGAAGAAAAUGACGGUACCUGACUAAGAAGCACCGGCUAAAUACGUG